rnacentral:rRNA from 1 species
UACGUAGGGGGCAAGCGUUGUCCGGAUUUAUUGGGCGUAAAGCGCGUGUAGGCGGCCACGCAGGUCCGCUGUGAAAACUCGAGGCUCAACCUCGAGCUGUCGGUGGAAACCGCGUGGCUAGAGUCCGGAAGAGGGGACUGGAAUUCCCGGUGUAGCGGUGGAAUGCGCAGAUAUCGGGAAGAACACCAGUGGCGAAAGCGGCUCUCUGGUACGUGACUGACGCUGAGACGCGAAAGCGUGGGGAGCGAACGGG